UACGUAGGGUGCAAGCGUUAAUCGGAAUUACUGGGCGUAAAGCGUGCGCAGGCGGUUAUGUAAGACAGAUGUGAAAUCCCCGGGCUCAAACUGGGAACUGCAUUUGUGACUGCAUAGCUAGAGUACGGUAGAGGGGGAUGGAAUUCCGCGUGUAGCAGUGAAAUGCGUAGAUAUCUGGAGGAACACCGAUGGCGAAGGCAGCCCCCUGGGCUAACACUGACGCUCAUGCACGAAAGCGUGGGGAGCAAACAGG
rnacentral:rRNA from 1 species